rnacentral:piRNA from 1 species
UAGGAAGCAAAAUUGUUGCCCUAAAACC